AAUGGGUUGUAGUGGGCGAAAGGGGUUGUUGGGAAGGAAGAAGGGACUGGGGAAGGGUCGACGGAGGGCUAGGGGGAGGGUCGCCAGACGUGGGAGUGCGGGCUGCCGAAGUAAGGUUGCAGAGGUGGGGGUCCAAAGGGUAGGAUUAUGGUGGGUGUUCAAAGAAAAAAGGGAGGGGAGCACUUUGGUGUGUGUCGGUCUAAAGAAAUGGAGGGUCCAAGUAAUUAGAUGAGAAAUACACUUGAGUGGACACAUUUCGUCUAAGCUUGUAGUACUUUUCAAUCCAGCAAGGGUAAUGGCAGAGUCUGUUGUCGCCUUCGCCAUCAAAGGACUUGGUGUUUUAGCGAUUCAAAAUGCACAAUUCUUGUAUGGCAUGAGUGACCAAGUGGAACAAGUUCAAGCACACUUAGGCAGAUGCAAUGCUUCUUGAAAGAUGCAGAUGCAACACAAGACGAACAUGAGACGAUCCACAAUUUGGUUGCAGAAAUUAGAGAAGUUGCUUAUAAUGCGGAGGCUGUUGUUGAAACUUUUGUUUUUGAAGUGGCAUCGAGGAAAGGAGGUUUUUGAAAGAUUCUCAUCAGAUCUGUUAACAUCUUGAGUGAAGUUUUAGCCUGCUACAGGAUUCGGUCUGAGAUUGAAACUAUUAAAAAAUAUAUCAAUAUUCUCAUCUCAAGCUUACAAAGUUACAGUUUAAUUGCUGUAAUGGAAAGAGAAGGUACAAGUUCUACAUAUCAAAGGAAACUUCAAUAUCGGUGAUCUUAUUCCCAUGUUAUUGAAGAGGAUUUUGUUGGUUUUCAAGAAGACAUGAAGACAUUAAUCAAACAUUUGGUGAAUGAAAGAAAACAAAAUUGUCAGGUUGUUGCUAAGAAGAUAUACCAUCACCAAAGUAUAGGAGCCACUUUGAUCGAUUUGCUUGGGUUUGUAUAUCUCAACAAUGGCAAAGAAAAGAUAUUUUGGAAGGGAUUUUUACCAAACUUGUACCAGAGUGGAAAAAUCAAAUUGUGAACAUGAGAGAUGAAGAGCUUGUCAAGCAACUUUACCGAGUCCAACAAGAGAAAAAAUGCCUAGUGGUUAUUGAUGACAUUUGGUCAUCAUGUGCUUGGGAUAGUCUAAGAGCUGCCUUCCCACCGGAAGUAUGGGCAGCAAAAUAUUGAUUACAACUCGUAAUAAAGAAGUAGCUAUGCACAUAGAUCCGACUUGUUUCCUCCAUGAACCAAAGUGCUUAAAUGAAGAAGAGAGUUGGGAGCUAUUUCAGAAAAAGGUCUUCUCAAGAAGAGAGGUGCAGACUUCAAAGUUGACACCAGGAUGGAGAUGUUAGUGAGGGAAAUGGUUGAACGGUGUGGGGGUUUACCGCUAGCCAUUGUUGUGUUAGGAGGAAUCUUAGUGACAAAAUAUACUUGGAGUGAGUGGGAGAUAAUUCAUCAAAAUUUAAAUUCGUUUCUAAGGAGGGGCAAAAGCGUUGGACAGCAACAUGGAGGAGUAAUGGAGGUGUUGGCUCUUAGUUAUCAUGACUUGCCAUAUCAGUUGAAGGCAUGUUUUCUUUGUUUGGGAAAUUAUCCAGAAGAUGUUGAGAUAGAAGCAGAGAAAUUAUACCAACUGUGGAUGGCCGAAGGUAUCAUAUUACCAUCACCAUUGGAGGAUAAGGAAAAAGGGGAAGAAGAAGCAAUGAUGGAUGUGGCAGAAUGUUAUUUGGAUGAAUUGGCACAGAGAUGCAUACUUCAGGUGCAGCUAGAGGAGUACCCAAUCAGGUACCAAGGAAGGUUUAAAUCAUGCAAGCUUCAUGACCUUAUGCGAGACGUAUGUUUGUUAAAGAUAGAAGAGGAAAAUUUUCUUAAGGUCAUUUAUUUGAAGAGGCAUAAAAAUGAGCAACAACAACUACUGGAAAAUUCCUAUCCUUCUUCUUCAUUAUCAUCAUAUAGGUGUAGUCAAAUACACAGAUUUGCAAUUGCCUUUGAUGAGAAUGUUGAUGGAGACCUUUCGCUCCUCAAACAAAAACAAGUUCAGCACAUUCGGUCAGCUGUAUUUUUCUAUGGAGGCAGGUGCAGUCAUCGACUCUGGGAACAAAUCAAACCCUGUAUUUUCAACCAUCUCAAAUUGCUGAAAGUUUUAGAUCUUGAAGCAAUUGGACAUCGCUUUUUUAGUGUGAGUGAUCUAAAGUUACCAAAAGCAAUAGGAAAUUUAAUCCACUUGAGGUACUUGGGUUUAAGAUAUUCAUGGUUCAACCAGUUGCCAUCAUCAAUAGGCAAGUUGAGGUAUUUGCAAACCCUUGAUUUACGGACACUAUCACAUCCAUUGAUACCAAAUGUGCUAUGGAAAUUGAAACUACUGCAAUAUCUUUAUCUUCCUCAAUCCUUACAUAUAGAAAAUGGUGACAUAUUACGAUUGGAUGGGUUGGACAACCUAGAGAUGCUAGAAAACUUCCAUACAUAUUAUUGUGAUAUCAAGGAUCUCUUCAAAUUAACCAAUCUUUGACAGCUAAGGGAAGCAAAAAUGUGGGGGAGACGUGAGGAUAUGAUCAACUACCUGUUCAGCAUCAGUAACCCAAAUCAACAACUCUUCCAUCACUCUUCACUUUCUAUUUGCGACUCUAAUGUUUUCUCCGAGGAGUCUAAUCUUCUAACACAAUUAUUGGGGUGUCAUCAUCUUCAUAAAUUGGAAAUACAAGGGCCUAUACAAGUGUUAGCACCACCAGUUGACCAUCAGAUGAAUAUCUCUUUGUAUUCAAGCAGCAGCCUCACCCAUUUAUGGUUGGAGGGAUCUCUACUUAAGGAAGACCCUACGUCCACACUGGAGAAGUUGCCUAACUUAAGGGGCCUCUACUUAGAUGAAGCCUUUGUGGGGAAAGAAAUAGUUUGUUCUGCAAUGGGAUUCCCUCAACUAAAACAUCUAAAACUCAAAGGUUUGCACAACUUAGUGAGGUGGAGGGUGGCUGAAAGGGCCAUGCCCAAUCUUUUGACUUUAGAAAUUCAAAGUUGCAAGAAGUUGAAGAUGCUGCCAGAUGAAUUGAGAUCCGUCCUUCCCCACGUGCAGGUGUUGAUUGAAGAGAUGCCUGAGGAAUGCCAUUACUUCCGGCCAACCAGUCCCCCCACCUCCUCAUCCGUUCCUCAUUCCCCUUCUCCUCCCCCUCCCCUUUUCCCUCCCCCAACCCCUUUCCCUCCCCUUUUCCGUUCCGGUUCGCUUUCCUGUCCCGCUUCCCUUCCCCUUCUUCCUCGUUGCUCUCUGCAAUGUGAUUUAUUCUUUCCAGAGAUAUGAGGGACUAAACUGUUUAGUAGAGAAUCAGUUGUCAGUGGUUCUGUUAAAAGGACCCCAGAGAACCGUAUGCUGGGUCAUCAUAUAAUCAUGGACUCAAAGGUUGGCCUAUAUGUAAGGCUGACACAUGAGGAGGUUCAUGAUGCCGCUCUUCAAAUUUGUUCUGGAUGGUAAAUCUUGGAGAACGGUGCAGUAUAUAUGGAUCCAAUUUCCCAGAAUGGAUCAUUUCAAUGGAGGUGGUUGUUUUGAGCAUUUGUAAGCUCGAAAUGUAGGGUACGUGACUAAAGUUAAUUUAAACUUCAACCACCACCGGCCAUUAGUUUGUUCUGCUGGUGUCACUGAUGCAAAUUCUGUGGAGUUCAUCAUCAACCAUCCUGAAGUUUCGAUACCUUUUGUUCAAGAGAAUAAGAUAGAUUCUGGCUAUGCCAACAUGCCUUCGAAGGUGUACUUCACAUCUAAAAACUAUUGCCAGCUUUGGGAGAUUUCUAGCAUGCAAAAGAAGGAAGCUGAAGACCUUGGUGUGUCUUGCUUCUCUAGGAAAGAAUUUGCUCUAUUGGGAAGUUUGGAUCGCAAAUUUCCUCAAUCUGACAUCUGCAUGAUGAUGAUGUAUGCAAGUGGAACGACAGAAGAACGUAAAGGUGUUGUUUUAACGAAUGGGAUGAUCAUGGCAGAAGCUUGUCUACAGAUCAACUGCUAUUUGAAACAAAGAAAGUGGUAAUGAUUAAAUUUCAUCUCUUUCAUGUUUCAAAAGUAACUGAUUUUGAACCUUGCUCUGAAAUUUGAACCUAAGAAGAAAUCUUUCUGCUUCCCUUUAUAAGAAGUAACUUUGAGCAUUGAUUGUUGGUGUGUGUAUGGUUUUGAUCAUUAUCAUUAUCAUCUCUAGAUUUUCAUUCCCAGUAUAUCAGAUGUAACAACCAAUGUUAACAAAUAUGUAUGAAAUUUGCACAAGUAUGCAAGAUAGUUUUGUGUCCAUAUUAAAUGUGUAGCAUACUCAUUGGUCAU